AUCCAAUUCCAUUCUCUGUUAAUUUUUAUUGAGGUAUGUACUUUUAAGUUUUUCAGUCAUUAACUAAAAAUAUUUUUUCCAAAUUUAGGUACAAUGUAGACCCGAUGUCUUGGCUGUGGUGCAUCUGCUGGUUGCAUUUUUUAUUUACUUGUUGAUAUGUAAUGUAAGCUCUUAACCCUCACCCCACAUGCUAAGGCUCAGAAAUUGAGACUAUGUAAUGUAAGCUCUGAACCCGUGGGAG
rnacentral:lncRNA from 1 species